UACGUAGGGCGCACGCGUUGUCCGGAAUUAUUGGGCGUAAAGAGCUCGUAGGUGGCGUGUCGCGUCUGCCGUGAAAGCCCAUGGCUUAACUGUGGGUCUGCGGUGGAUACGGGCAGGCUGGAGGCUGGUAGGGGCAAGCGGAAUUCCUGGUGUAGCGGUGAAAUGCGCAGAUAUCAGGAGGAACACCGGUGGCGAAGGCGGGUUGCUGGGCCGACACUGACGCUGAGGCGCGAAAGCCAGGGGAGCGAACGGG
rnacentral:rRNA from 1 species